GUGCCAGCCGCCGCGGUAAUACGUAGGGCGCGAGCGUUAUCCGGAAUUAUUGGGCGUAAAGAGCUUGUAGGCGGUUUGUCGCGUCUGCUGUGAAAGCCCGGGGCUUAACCCCGGGUGUGCAGUGGGUACGGGCAGACUAGAGUGCAGUAGGAGAGACUGGAAUUCCUGGUGUAGCGGUGAAAUGCGCAGAUAUCAGGAGGAACACCGAUGGCGAAGGCAGGUCUCUGGGCUGUUACUGACGCUGAGAAGCGAAAGCAUGGGGAGCGAACAGGAUUAGAUACCCUGGUAGUCCAUGCCGUAAACGUUGGGCACUAGGUGUGGGGGACAUUCCACGUUUUCCGCGCCGUAGCUAACGCAUUAAGUGCCCCGCCUGGGGAGUACGGCCGCAAGGCUAAAACUCAAAGGAAUUGACGGGGGCCCGCACAAGCGGCGGAGCAUGCGGAUUAAUUCGAUGCAACGCGAAGAACCUUACCAAGGCUUGACAUGGACCGGACCGCUGCAGAGAUGUAGCUUCCCUUCGGGGCUGGUUCACAGGUGGUGCAUGGUUGUCGUCAGCUCGUGUCGUGAGAUGUUGGGUUAAGUCCCGCAACGAGCGCAACCCUUGUCCUAUGUUGCCAGCACGUAAAGGUGGGGACUCAUGGGAGACUGCCGGGGUCAACUCGGAGGAAGGUGGGGAUGACGUCAAAUCAUCAUGCCCCUUAUGUCUUGGGCUUCACGCAUGCUACAAUGGCCGGUACAGUGGGUUGCGAUACUGUGAGGUGGAGCUAAUCCCUAAAAGCCGGUCUCAGUUUCGGAUCGAAGUCUGCAACUCGACUUCGUGAAGUUGGGAGUCGCUAGUAAUCGCAGAUCAGCAACGCUGCGGUGAAUACGUUCCCGGGCCUUGUACACACCGCCCGUCAAGUCACGAAAGUUGGUAACACCCGAAGCCCAUGGCCCAACCCUUGUGGAGGGAAUGGUCGAAGGUGGGACUAGCGAUUGGGACUAAGUCGUAACAAGGUAACC
rnacentral:rRNA from 1 species